AAUAAGGUAGGAUAAUUUUAGUCUGUCAGGUUCAUACCCUGGGGGUUUUCUUGUUAU
rnacentral:tRNA from 1 species